AUGCACGGCCGGCGGGCAAUGCUGGCGGCAGCCAGGAUCCUGGUCCCGGAGGUCCUGCACAAGCGGGGCUUCAUGGACGAGUUCUCAUGGUACACGGCCGGCGAGCGUGAGUACUUCGCGGACCCAUGGACGAUGUUCGUGACUCAUAUGGCGCUCAUGGGGUGGGUAGAGGGCCGGCGGUGGAUGGACUACCUCAACCCGGGAUCCGUGGACAUUGAGCCGCGGUUCCCCAACCGCAGGAACCCCACCCCGGACGUGGGGUACCCGGGCGGGUUGUGGUUCGACUGGGGCAACUGGGGCCGCGGCUCGCCGGAGCACGUCAUGGUGCUCUGCACCAAGGAGAUCAAGAACGGCCGCCUCGCCAUGCUCGCCUUCGUCGGCUUCCGGUUCCAAGUCGUCUACACCGGCAAGGGCCCCCUCGACAACCUCUUCGCACACCUCGCCGACCCCGGCCACUUCAACAUCUUCUUGGUACGUACAUAUAGAUACAUGGCUGGCUACUCAACUCUCCAUUACUAG
rnacentral:rRNA from 1 species